GAUGAACGCUAGCUACAGGCCUUAACACAUGCAAGUCGAGGGGCAGCAUGAAGUCAGCUUGCUGACUUUGAUGGCGACCGGCGCACGGGUGAGUAACGCGUAUCCAACCUUCCCCUUACUCAGGAAUAGCCCGUUGAAAGACGGAUUAAUGCCUGAUGUUCUCUUUUUCCGGCAUCGGUAAUAGAGCAAAGAUUCAUCGGUAAGGGAUGGGGAUGCGUAUGAUUAGCUAGAUGGUGGGGUAACGGCCCACCAUGGCGACGAUGUCUAGGGGUUCUGAGAGGAAGGUCCCCCACACUGGAACUGAGACACGGUCCAGACUCCUACGGGAGGCAGCAGUGAGGAAUAUUGGGUCAAUGGUCGAGAGACUGAACCAGCCAUGCCGCGUGAAGGUCACGGCCCUAUGGGUCUUAAACUUCUUUUGUAAGGGUAGCAAUAAGUCUCACGUGUGGGAUGAUGAGAGUACCUUACGAAUAAGCAUCGGCUAACUCCGU
rnacentral:rRNA from 1 species